CCCCUAGAUGUUCUGGGCCGCACGCGCGCUACACUGAACAGUUCAACAAGUCUUAACCUUGGCCGAUAGGUCUGGGUAAUCUUUGAACGCUGUUCGUGAUUGGGAUAGACCUUUGCAAUUAUGGGUCUUCAACGAGGAAUUCCUAGUAAACGCAAGUCAUCAGCUUGCAUUGAUUACGUCCCCGCCCUUUGUACACACCGCCCGUCGCACCUACCGAUUGAAUGGUCCGGUGAAAUCUCGGGACGGCGGCUUGGUCGCUUGCGUCCGACUGCUGAAACUUGAUUAAACCAUAUCAUUUAGAGGAAGGUGAAGUCGUAACA
rnacentral:rRNA from 1 species